CUGCGGAAGGAUCAUUAUCGAGUUUUGAAACGAGUUGUUGCUGGCCUUAAUCGAGGCAUGUGCACGCUUGGCUCAUCCACUCUUCAACCUCUGUGCACUUAUUGUAGGUCGGUGAAAGGCUCUGCGCUUCGGUGCUCAGCUGGAAGCCUUCCUAUGUUUUACUACAAACGAUUCAGUUACAGAAUGUCUCUUGCGUAUAACGCAUCUAUAUACAACUUUCAGCAACGGAUCUCUUGGCUCUCGCAUCGAUGAAGAACGCAGCGAAAUGCGAUAAGUAAUGUGAAUUGCAGAAUUCAGUGAAUCAUCGAAUCUUUGAACGCACCUUGCGCUCCCUGGUAUUCCGGGGAGCACGCCUGUUUGAGUGUCAUGGUAUUCUCAACCUUCAAAACUUUUUGUAUUGAAGGCUUGGACUUGGAGGCUUGUGCUGGCUCUCGUUAGUCGGCUCCUCUGAAAUGCAUUAGCGUGAAUGUUAUGGAUCGCUUCGGUGUGAUAAUUAUCUGCGCCGUGGUCGUGAAGUAUUUGAAGUUUGCGCUUCUAACCGUCCUUCACUGGACAACCACCCUUGACAUUUGACCUCAAAUCAGGCGGGACUACCCGCUGAACUUAAGCAUAUCAAUAAGCGGAGGAAAAGAAACUAACAAGGAUUCCCCUAGUAACUGCGAGUGAAGCGGGAAAAGCUCAAAUUUAAAAUCUGGCAGUCUUCGAU
rnacentral:rRNA from 1 species